UACGUAGGGGGCGAGCGUUGUCCGGAAUCAUUGGGCGUAAAGCGCGUGUAGGCGGUUCAGUAAGUCUGCUGUGAAAGUCCAGGGCUCAACCCUGGGAUGCCGGUGGAUACUGCUGAACUAGAGUGCGGAAGAGGCGAGUGGAAUUCCCGGUGUAGCGGUGAAAUGCGCAGAUAUCGGGAGGAACACCAAUUGCGAAGGCAGCUCGCUGGGACGUUACUGACGCUGAGGAGCGAAAGCGUGGGUAGCAAACAGG
rnacentral:rRNA from 1 species